ensembl:snRNA U4 U4 spliceosomal RNA
AUCCUUUUGGCAUGGCAGUAUUGUAGCCUAUGCGGUUUAUCGAGGCGGAUUAUUGCUAGUUGAAACUUUACCCAAUACCUGCCUUAGUGAAUUAAUAUAGUCAGCAGUGGCACUUGUGUUUUAGUCUCUCAGGAGA